rnacentral:rRNA from 1 species
GUGGGGAAUCUUGCGCAAUGGGCGAAAGCCUGACGCAGCCAUGCCGCGUGAAUGAUGAAGGUCUUAGGAUUGUAAAAUUCUUUCACCGGGGACGAUAAUGACGGUACCCGGAGAAGAAGCCCCGGCUAACUUCGUGCCAGCAGCCGCGGUAAUACGAAGGGGGCUAGCGUUGCUCGGAAUUACUGGGCGUAAAGGGCGCGUAGGCGGACAGUUUAGUCAGAGGUGAAAGCCCAGGGCUCAACCUUGGAAUUGCCUGUGAUACUGGCUGUCUUGAGUACGGGAAAGGUGAGUGGAACUCCGAGUGUAGAGGUGAAAUUCGUAGAUAUUCGGAAGAACACCAGUGGCGAAGGCGACUCACUGGCCCGUUACUGACGCUGAGGCGCGAAAGCGUGGGGAGCAAACAGGAUUAGAAACCCCGGUAGUCC